rnacentral:misc_RNA from 1 species
GAUGAAGAACGCAGCAAAGUGCGAUAAGUAAUGUGAAUUGCAGAAUUCAGUGAAUCAUCGAAUCUUUGAACGCACAUUGCGCCCGCUGGUAUUCCGGCGGGCAUGCCUGUUCGAGCGUCAUUUCAACCCUCAAGCCCCCGGGUUUGGUGUUGGGGAUCGGCUCUGCCUUCUGGCGGUGCCGCCCCCGAAAUACAUUGGCGGUCUCGCUGCAGCCUCCAUUGCGUAGUAGCUAACACCUCGCAACUGGAACGCGGCGCGGCCAUGCCGUAAAACCCCAACUUCUGAAUGUUGACCUCGGAUCAGGUAGGAAUACCCGCUGAACUUAAGCAUAUCAAUAAGCGGAGGA